rnacentral:rRNA from 1 species
GACGAACGCUGGCGGCGUGCUUAACACAUGCAAGUCGAACGGAAAGGCCUGUCUUUUGUGGGGUGCUCGAGUGGCGAUCGUGUGAGUAACACGUGUGUAACCUGCCCUGUACGUGGGGAUAUCUGUAGGAAACUGGGGCUAAUACCGGAUAGGAGCUGUGGUGGCAUGGUGGGGGUUGGAAAGUUUCGGCGGUUGGGGAUGGACUCGCGGCUUAUCAGCUUGUUGGUGGGGUAGUGGCUUACCAAGGCUUUGACGGGUAGCCGGCCUGAGAGGGUGACCGGCCACAUUGGGACUGAGAUACGACCCAGACUCCACAGGGAGGCAGCAGUGGGGAAUAUUGCACAAUGGGCGGAAGCCUGAUGCAGCACAGCCGCGUGCGGGAUGACGGCCUUCGGGUUGUAACAAAAAAUCGCCUGUGACGAAGCGUGAGUGACGGUAAUGGGUAAAGAAGCACCGGCUAACUACGUG